GCGGACGUGGUGCACGGUGCACUCCUUCAUCUCAUAAAACGGUCUUGAAGGUGUUGAGGGCUGUCGGGGUUCGACUCCCCGCGUCUGCA